CCCUUAGACGUUCUGGGCCGCACGCGCGCUACACUGACGAAGGCAACAAGCUUCCCUUUACCGAAAGGUACGGGUAAUCUUUUGAAACUUCGUCGUGCUGGGGAUAGAUCCUUGCAAUUAUUGAUCUUAAACGAGGAAUUCCUAGUAAGCGCGAGUCAUCAACUCGCGUUGAUUACGUCCCUGCCCUUUGUACACACCGCCCGUCGCUACUACCGAUUGAAUGGUUUAGUGAGGCCUUCGGAUUCUCGACUCUGUCUGGGGAGAAGUUGGACAAACUACAUCAUUUAGAGGAAGUAAAAGUCGUAACA
rnacentral:rRNA from 1 species